UACGAAGGGGGCUAGCGUUGCUCGGAAUCACUGGGCGUAAAGGGUGCGUAGGCGGGUCUUUAAGUCAGGGGUGAAAUCCUGGAGCUCAACUCCAGAACUGCCUUUGAUACUGAAGAUCUUGAGUUCGGGAGAGGUGAGUGGAACUGCGAGUGUAGAGGUGAAAUUCGUAGAUAUUCGCAAGAACACCAGUGGCGAAGGCGGCUCACUGGCCCGAUACUGACGCUGGUGCACGAAAGCGUGGGGAGCAAACAGG
rnacentral:rRNA from 1 species